rnacentral:lncRNA from 1 species
CCGUACACCCCAGUCCCUUUUUUUUUUUUUAAUUUCAAGACAGGGUUUCAUUAAGUUGCUGAAGGUCUCCCUAAAUUGCUGAAGCUGGCCUGGAAUUUGGAAUCCUCCUGCUUCAGCCUUCGCAUCACUGGGAUUACAGGAAUACGCCACCAUGCCUGACUUUAGUUUCACUCUUAUCUCUAUUUCUUUCAUUCUACUUAAUUUGGAUUUAUUUGUACUUUUUUUUCUAAGUAAUUUUAAAAGUAUUAAUUCAAUUUAUUUAUUUAUUUAGAGAUGGAGCCUAUGUUACUGUUUGGUCUUGAACUCAUGGGCUCAAGUGAUCCUUCUACCUCAGCUUCCCCUAGGAGUGGGACUAUAAGUACAUACUACCAAGUCCAGCUUUUUUCUAGAUUGUUUGUUUGCAUCGCUAGGGACCAAACCCAAGACCUCCUGCAUGUCAGGCUAGCACUAUACCACUCAGCUACAUCCCCAGCCCUUUUCUACAUCCUUAAUAUGGGAACUAAAUUAUCUUUUUUCCUUUUUCUAGUGUGUACAUUCAGUGAUACAAAUUUCUCAGCACUGCUUUAGCAGGAUCCUACCUAUUUUAAUAUGUUGUGUUUUCAUUUUCAUUCAGUUCAUUUAUUUAAAAAAAUUUCCCUUAAGACUUCAUCUUUGACACAUGGAUUAUUUAGAAAUGUGUUAUUUAGUUUCCAAAUGUUUGGAGAAUUUCCUGUUAUCUUUCUGUAAUAGACUUCUGGUUUGAUUCCACUGUGGUUAGAGAACACACUGUAUAAUUUCAAUUCUUUGAAAUUUGUUAAGAUUUUUUUCUAUGGCUCAGGAUAUGGUUCAUCUUGGUAUAUAUUCCAUGGCACUUGAAAAAUAAUGUGUAUGCUGCUGUUGUUAGAUGGAGUGUUCUGUGAGUGUUGAUCACAACCUGUUGAGUUGAGGGUAUUGUUGAGUUCUACAUUCUUCAUUUUCUGUCUAGUUGCACAGUCUAUUGUUGAGAGAUAGGCAUUGAAGUCUCCAACCACAAACAUGGAUAGGCAAGUGCUGAACCACUGAGCUAUUUUAAAAUUUUUUAAAAAUUUUAUUUUGAGACAGGGUCUUGCUAAGUUGUCCAGACUGGUCUCAAAUUUGUGAUCCUCCUGCCUCAACUUCCUGAAUAACUGGGAUUACAGGUAUGCAGCACUAUACCUGGAUUAGACCAUUAACAUUUAAGGUAAUCAGUGAUCUGUUAAGGCUUAAGUCUGCUUGUUUAUUUUUUUGUUUGUUUGUUUUAUAUUUGUUCUCUUUGUUGUUGAUUUUUCUGUUUCUGUUUUCCUAUCCUCCUAUGGGUUAUUUGACAGUUUUUUUUUUUUGUUUUUUUUUUUUUUUUUUUUUUUUUUUUUUUUUUUUUUUUUUUUUUUUUUUUUUUUUUUUUUUUUUUUUAGAAUUCUAUUUAUAUUUAUCUGUAGUUUUUUUCAAGUGCAUUUCUUUGAAUAGCUUUUUAAGUGACACAACAUCUUUGUAUGUAUGUGGUGCUGAGGAUCAAACCCGGGGCGCACGCAUGCCAGGCGAGCGCACUAUCCCUUGAGCCACAUCCCCAGCCCAAGUGUUUGCUCUUUUCUAUAUAACUUGUCACAGUCUCCUGAUGUCAUCAUUUUUCCUCCCCAUGUCAUCAUUUUACAAGUUUGAGUGAAAUAUAGAAAUCUUAUCCUCCUCUCUGUCCGUUACCCUUCCCAAUUUAUAAAUGCCUUAAAUAGUUCUUCCACAUUUAUUUACAACUUCAUUGAAUAUUGCUGCAAUUUUUAUGACAGUUGUCAAAUAUAAUUUAGAAUACUCAAGAGGAGCUUAUUUUAUUCACUGUACUUUCUUUCUUCAUAAUGUUCCAACAUUCCUUAUUUUUUGUUUACUUUCAGUUUAGAGAACUUUCUUUAGCUAUUUUUGGGAGUAGUUCUGCUGAUGACAAAGUCUUUUAGUUUUUCUUUAUCUAAGACCAUCUUUUGUUGUUUGUUUGUUUUUGUACCAGUACAGUGCAGUCCUAAUAAAAAGAAUCCUCUCAGGUCAGAAAAAAAAAAAAAAUUGAACCCAGUGACGUGUAACCAAUAAGCCACAUCCCCAGCCCUUUUUUAUAUUUUAUUUAGAGACAGGGUCUCACUGAGUUGCUUUAAGUUUCCAAGUUUAGCUUUGAAUUCAUGAUCCUCCUGGCUCAGCCUCUCCAGCUGCUGAGAUUAUAAGUGUGUGGCACCACGCCCAGCUGAGACCAUUUUGACUGCCACUCCAUUCCUGCUUUUCACUGAGUGUUAAAUUCUAGGUUAGCAAUUUUAUUGGAUUGAUUGAUUGAUUUUGCACUGAUAAGCAUUUUGACACUUCUUUCUGGCUUGCAUUGUUUCUGAUGAGAAAUCUCCUACCAUUCAAAUGAUUUUUUCCUCAUGUGUGAAGUAUCCUUUCCUCUGGCUGCUUUCAAAAUGUCUUGUCCUUCAUUUUCAGAGGUUUAUGAUGUGUCUUUGCAUGGAUAUUCUUGAGUUUGCUCAGCUCCUUGAAUCUUUAGGUUUAUGUUUCUUAUCAAAUCUGGUGAGUAUUCAGGCAUUUUUUAACAACUACCUUUUCAGCCAAGCCUUCUUUGUUCUCUCCUUCUCAAAUUUGAUGAAACAAAUAUUAGAUAUUUUGGGAUAGUCCCACAAGUCCCCAAGGCUCUCUGUUUUGUUUCCUGUCUGUAUUCUCUCUCUUGAUCAUAUUGGAUAGCUCCUUCCUGUGGUGCUGGUAUAGAACUCAGGGCCUCACACAUUGCUAGCUCUCUGCCACUGAGCUAAACCGCCAGCCCCAGAUUGGAUAUUUCCAUGGUUUUAUCUUCUAGUUCAGUGAUUUUUUUUUUUAAUUCUGUUAUAUCUAGUCUGCUGUUAAGCCUGUUCACUAAUAUUUUAGUCAUCGCAUUUUUCAGUUCUAAAACUUCCAUUUAAAUCUUAUUUAUAUCUUUUAUUGCUUUGCUGAAUGCUUUCUUUUUGUUUCUAAAGUGUGUAAUUGUUCAUUGAGAUAUAUUUAUCAUGGGUAUUGUUAAGUAAUUCUAACAUCUCUGCUAUAUCAGUGCUGACAUGUAUUGAUUGACUUUUUUUAGUUUGUGAUCUAACAGCUGCUAAAUUGAUUUUCAAUGAAAAUUGAAUAUCUUUAUAUUGUAAUAAGAUUCUGGAUCUUAUUUAAACCUGCUGUUUUAAUUGGCUUUCUUUGACACUCACUGCUCUGGCAGGGGAGAAUGGAGAUUCUACCUCACUACUAUUAGGUAGAGGGAGAAGUACAGGUACUCCCAUUAAGUCCCCCUUAAUACCUGAGGGUGGAGGUGUUCCUCCUUAAUGGUGAGCAAGGUAGAAGUUCCAUUUCUCCAUAUGACACUCCAGAAGGGGAGAUCUCAUUAACACUGGGUGAUGGCAAAAGUCCUUACUCUUCAUUAGGCUUCCUGUGACACCACCCCAGCAGAGAAGGGAAUGGGCAUCUCUACUGCUGGGCAAGCUGGAAGUCCAGACCCUUAUAGUCCCCACUUACAUCAGGAGGGUAGGAAAAUUCAUUAUCAGAUGUAAGAAAUGAAAGUUUCAGUUCCCUUACUAGCCUUCUCAUAUACCAUGAUGGGUGGUGUCAGGACAUGUGUUUGUUUUUUAAUAUUUUUUAGUUGUAGAUGGACAUGGUACCUUUAUUUCAUUUAUUUAUUUGAAUGUGGUGCUGAGGAUUGAAUCCAAUGCCUCACCAUACUAGGCAACACUCCUCACCUUCCACCCAGUUUUUGCUGGGAUGACUGGAGGUGGGGCUCUUUUAUUUUUCCCCUCUCUCCUGUAUUGUUUGGAUGGAGUAGAGCAGUUAUUGUCUAAAGGUUUUCUCUUUGCUAAGCUGAACUUUCCUGGUCCUUUGGCUAAAGAGAGCAGGCUUUUGUUGAGGCUUUUUUUUUUUUUCUUUUCUUGUCUGCACCCAUUGGCAUUUAGAGUUGCCAAGUCUUCUUUAGCUCCAAGUCUGAGAUGUAUCAGGUUAAAAGAAAACGAAUUACCUUGUCAUCCCUCAUGUCCUGAAGACCCUAGCUACCCAGCCUUCUCUUCAACUUUCAAAAUCUUCCUAUAUUUUUAAUAAAUCUUGUUCAGGGAGUUUUAAUUAAACUAAGAGGAAUGGGGACAAGUACAUCUGUUCUAUCCUCCCAGAAGUUGAAGUUCUCGCUAGCAAUUUUAAAAAGGCAUAUCUGACCAUGUGAUUCACUUGGUUAAAACCUCCAAUGGCACCAUUCACUAAGGAUAAACACCAAAUUAUGCUUCAUUAAAAGGUCUUCUGCAGCCUGGGCUUUACCAUGAUAAGGUACUGUAGUGAUGGUGGUGAUACAUAAUUAACAAUCAACUUUGGGAAGUAGGGGGAACCUUAAUGUGUAACAUUUGCUGAUUUCUCUGAUGUAAAUCCUACAAUUGUGACUGAUUUCAAGCCACCAAGAUGAAAUCAUUAAAUAUGAAGAAAAAUGCUAAAAAUUGACUCAUAUACAUCAUUGCAAAUUUACAUUAUGUCAUUUUCUUUUUAAAUUUUUAAAAAAUAUUUAUUUUUUAGUUGUAGUUGGACAUAAUACCUUUAUUAUUUAUUUAUUUAUUUAUUGUGGUGCUAAUGCUAAGGAUAGAACCCAGGGCCUUGUACGUGCUAGGUGAGCGCUCUACGGCUGAACAACAACCCCAGACUGUCAUUCUCUUUUUAUACUCCAGCCAUUCCAGAUUUCUUUCUUUCUUUUUUUUUUUUUUAAUAUAUUUUUUAGUUGUUGAUGGACCUUUUUUUUAAACUUUUUUUAAUAUUUAUUUUUCAGUUUUCGGCGGACACAACAUCUUUGUUUGUAUGUGGUGCUGAGGAUCGAACCUGGGCCGCACGCAUGCCAGGCGAGCGCACUACUGCUUGAGCCACAUCCCCAGCCCCAUUCCAGAUUUCUUUAAGAGUGCACUAUGCUCUCUCCAGCAUCUAGUCAUUUCUGCAUGGUGUUCCCUCUAGAUCAUACACAGUGGAAUGCCACCUUUUUCCACAAUCCUGUGUGUGUAUGUGCGCGUGCGUGUGUGUGUGUGUGUGUGUGUGUGUGUGUGUGUGAGUGAUGGAGAGCAUGAGUGCCAGCCUGCACCAGCUCAAAAGAGCGAUUUUUAAAUUUUCAGUAAUUUUAUAUGCUGGCUGUUAGAGUUACAAAUCAGAACUUGUUUUAGGAGUUGUUUUUGAUGCCUGUAAUCCCAGCUACUCAGGAGGCUGAGGCAGGAGGAUUUCAACUUCAAGACCAGCCUGGGCAACCUAGCAAGACCUUAUCUCAAAAAACAACAACAAAAAGAGCUGGUUUUGAAACACUUACCAGCAUACCACUGUCCCCAUUUUUGUUUGUCUCAUUGGCUCAUUCUUCAGUCCUAAACCAUUUCCUCUAAAACGACUUCCUCUGAUCCUCAAACUUGCUUUCUGCCUCAAAAUUCCUUGUACUUCCCAUUUCCUAAAAUUCAUUGGAAUUAUCAUUAGUGAGCUGUUGUCUGACUGCUACUAAUACCAUACAUUCAAUGAUAAAAGGAGUAUUUUGCAAAUAAAUACUUAAAAUGUCAGAUGCCUUUUUAUCUAGGUCAGCAUGCUAUAAUAGACACACAGCAGGUUCUGUAGAUAUUUUACAAAUAUCUGUUGAAUAAAUCUGUGGAUGCAAGAAAUAAAACUAAAGUAAGAUUAUAACCACCCUCAGAGUUAUACAAAAGUACAUACAAGAGGAAGUGAGGGGAAGGGGAAAAAUAAUAUAAGGGGGACAAACGAAUGUCAGUAGAGGGAGCAGAGAGAGAAGAGGGGAGGGGAGGGGAGGGGAGGGGAGGGGGGAUAGUAGAGGAUAGGAAAGGCAGCAGAAUACAACAGACACUAGUAUGGCAAUAUGUAAAUCAAUGGAUGUGUAACUGAUGUGAUUCUGCAAUCUGUAUAUGGGGUAAAAAUGGGAGCUCAUAACCCACUUGAAUCAAAUUGUGAAAUAUGAUAUAUCAAGAACUAUGUAAUGUUUUGAACAGCCAACAAUAAAAAAUUAAAAAAAAAAAAGAUUAUAACCUAUUACAUUAUAAACUGAGUGAAAUGAUGAAGGAUAGAAAU